UACAGAGGGUGCAAGCGUUGAUCGGAAUUACUGGGCGUAAAGCGUGCGUAGACGGUUACAUAAGUCGGGUGUGAAAGCCCCGGGCUCAACCUGGGAACUGCAUUUGAGACUGCUCUGCUCGGGUGCGGAAGAGGGAAGCGGAAUUUCCGGUGUAGCGGUGAAAUGCGUAGAUAUCGGAAGGAACACCAGUGGCGAAAGCGGCUUCCUGGUCCGACACCGACGUUCAGGCACGAAAGCGUGGGGAGCAAACAGG
rnacentral:rRNA from 1 species